UCGGAGAUAAUAGAGCUUUAAAGGUUAUUUCCUUCAUGCCUUUAUUGUGACUUUGCAUGGAACACAUUUGUUAUGUUCGGUGUUAGUGUCUCUAUUUUGUACCAGUUUUGUAUAUCCGUAGGGUACACUGCUAUAGAGUUAUCUUGAGUUAAGUGGUAAUGGAGUUUAUGCAUCACUACAGAGGAUAGUGAGACAGAACGGUGCCAAACUGUUGUUACUGAUUUAUCUGCACAGUAGUUGUUAGGGCAUAUAUUUAUAAAUAUGGUGACCAAAAUGCUGCGGGCGUUGGAAAUCUUUCUAUUGAAUGUUCUUGUUUGUGUUGCUAUUUAUGACCCUGUAGACGAAGUGACAAAACCACCAAAACGCUGGGUGGAUUUACCAUGGCCUGUACGUGUAGACAAGAAUAGUCGCCAUGCAUCUGGUUUAGUUACUGGUGAGGAGUACAUUCCACCUACCUAUGAUUACAGUAGCAAAAAUAUCAUGGGUCGAAUGGCAUCAGGUGAUGAUGGAAUAGAACACAUCAAGUCAACUGCAGGACAAGUGAUACCAGGCAGCCCUGUCAGCAGGCGCAGUGACUGGAAUAUUGUGCCUGACCCAAGCAGUGACGGUGGCUUCAGGCUGGUUGAAUCGUCAUUUGGAGACAUAAAUCCAGCACAAAUCCCACAGCAAGGAUCAAGUUCAAGUAUUGUAUAUGGAAAUGGAGGUAUUUAUCAAGAAAAUAAAGGAAAUAAUCCAGGAGAAUCAUCAAAAGUUCCAGGAACAGAAGCAACUAGUGGUGCUGCUGAUAUUUCUGGUGUCUCUUCAGCCCUUGGUUUGCAGUGGCCUGCCAGCAAUGUUCUGGGUAGUGGAAUGUCAAGUGCUGGAGUUGUCAGUACUGGCGUUUCUGUGCCUGAUAGUUCACAGAGACUUUCAGCAAAUGUUUUGGGUAGUGGAGUGUCAAGUGCAGCAGUUGUAGGUACUGGUGUUUACAUUGGUAGUGGAUAUCAGAGACCUCCAGUAAAUGUUAAAGGAAAUCAGCCUACACGUCACAGUGAUCAGGAAGUUUCCCAAAAUAGUCAGCAGCAAUCUCAUUCUAUUUCUGCAGAGAGCGGUAAUGUAGGAACUCCAUCAUCAUCGUCUUCCAAGACUCGCUGGAAGGUUUCAGCACCUGUGCAGCUGCAGUCACAGUUUCUUCCAGCUGCACACUGGCUUGGCUCUUCUGUUUCUGUAGGCCUGAGUCAGAAGUUACCAGCUGCUACUGGAGUAAUUCCUGCAGGCAGUCAGUAUCUGCCAUCCCCCUACCCACGGUCACCGGUACACACAGACGUAUCUUCAGUCUCAGCAUUUGGUUCAACGAAGUGUCCUCCUGGAGGUACAGGACAGUUUGUGUAUCGACCUGACUGUAGACAGUUUCUCAACUGCUGGAAGGGACGAGGCCUUGUCCAGUUCUGUGCACCAGGGACCCUCUUCAACCCUGAAACUCUGGAGUGUGACUUUCCAAACAAGGUUAAAUGCUUGCAAAGUUCACCAGAUGAAGAACAGUGGAACAACAUAGAGAUGGACAGUACAGUUGAGAGGCAUGUGGAGGGGAAGAAUCAAUUGCUGGAGCCGGCAUUAUCCACCACACAUACACCAUCUCCUGUACAAGCACAGACCAGAAAGUCAGACUGCCCCAUGGAGGGAGGGACAGGGCUUGCCCCCCAUCCGACAGACUGCAGCAAGUUCCUCAACUGUUGGAAGGGCACGGCUCAUAGUCAGCAGUGCGGACCAGGCACCUUGUUCAACCCCCAGACUUUGCAGUGUGACUUCCCUUAUAGAGUGACUUGCACUUUGUCAGCUUCAGGUUCUCAGGAGAGAGCACCUGGAAAAUUUUCACAAAAUAAGCCAAACAAGUCCCCACAGCUCCUGAAUGUUAUCACGCAGUCAACCAAGAUUUCAGCUGCAACUACUACUGCUGCUACAACUACUAGAACUACUACUACUAUGACUAGUACCACUCCUCCUCCUCCGCCUUCUACUCCUACCCCCACCACUACCAUAACACCUGCCCCGUCAGGAGCUAUCCAGAAUCUGUCCCUGCUGAUAAAUACAAGUGGCCAAGUUAUAAGGCUCCGAGGGGGACCAGGACCCUGGGAAGGCUAUGUUGAAGUACAGGGGCCAAGCCCUGGCUGGGGUCUUAUCUGUGACAAGACAAAUUCCUGGACUAUUGUGGAGGCUACAGUUGUGUGUCAUCAGCUGGGGUAUGAGAGGGGAGCAGAAUUAUCAUGGCAGGGCCGACCUCUGCAGCCCACUGAAGACACACUACGAGUCAGUGUAAGUGAAGUAGCUUGCAGCGGUAGUGAGGCUGCUCUGUCUGCAUGCCGUCUGGAGCCCGGACACCAGUGUGUGAUAGCCAGAGAUGCGGUUGGUGUCCGUUGCUACAAGAACUGGGUGUCACAGUGCCAACUUGGCGAAGUGAACCAUGGCAAGAAAUGCUACAGUUUGGUGGUUCCCAGUGUACGCCAUGCUCUUGAGGGCUUCACUCAUGGGGAGGCGCUUAGAGACUGCCAGGCCCGUGGGUCACAACUCCUCGAUAUCACUUCCCAGGUCGAGAGUGACUUCAUAUCCGAAUGGCUGCUGCAGUUACAGCCCAAUAUAACCAACGUUCUUACUGCAGGUGUAGGUGUGUCUGUGUUUCAUCGUCCGCUGUGGAUCUGGGAAGGGUCUACUGAACCAUUCGUAUUUACAAAAUGGUGGCCAGGUUGGGCGCAUGAUGUGAGGAGCCCACCUAAGACAGGCCAUAGACCGAUCUGUAUUGUUGCCAAGCGUGUCUUCCCAUGUGAACAUGCAUAUUACACAAGUGAUGCCAUUACUGACAUGGAUGCUGAUGCACAUGAUCACCCAACUGUCAGGAUGUGUGCUGCCAACUAUUUCUUCUGGGACACUGAGGAUUGCAGUGUUACACAUAGCCACCCUUAUAUCUGUGAGAGACCUCUGGAUGAUAUUGGUUGCAUGGAUGGAGACAAGUACAACUAUCAGGGUUCUGCUAACAUGACAGCCAAUGGCUUACCAUGUCUUCAUUGGGAUGACCCCCUGAUCAUCCCCAAGCUCAGCUACAGAGUGUCAGAAAGGGAGAGGAAUGCCACCCUCACAGGUCACAACUACUGUCGAAAUGUCGGAGGUAAAGCGCAGCCAUGGUGCUUUGCAGGCAAGCAGAGGAGUUCACAGCCAUGUGCCAUCCCAACUUGUUGGCGCAAAGGUGUUGAGAAAGUGAUUACAGUGACGAAACAUGAGUGUAAACCUGAAGAGUUUGAGUGCCGGCCGGGAAGCUGUAUACCAGUCAAAUGGAAAUGUGACGGGCAGAAGGACUGUUCCAACGGCCUUGAUGAACGUUACUGUGAAGAUGGCUUCGAAGAUGUAUCGAAACAUUCCAACCACCGUCUUGAGCACCAUGACAAAGAGAAAUGGUUGCAGACAGAUGCCAGAAAAUGUGCUCAGUAUUGUCGUAAAGCCAAGGAGUUUGUCUGCCGAUCCUUCAGUCACCGGGAACAAGAUUCAGUGUGUCUUCUUAGUGACAGUAACAUUGGCUUAUCAGGAAAUCUUGUGGAGGAAGAAGGUUGGGACUACUACGAGGUUAAGUUGCUGUCACUGAAGUGUGAUGCCAAGUUCCAGUGCGGUAAUGGGAAAUGCAUCAACAUGAGCCUCGUGUGCAAUGGCAGGAAUGACUGUGGAGACAGAUCAGACGAGAAGAACUGCUCUGCAGCGUAUCUUGAUUAUGCCAUCCGCCUGGCAGGAAGUAAUGUCUCCAAUGAGGGUCGUGUUGAAGCCAGAGUGUUUGGUCAGUGGGGCCUGAUUUGUGAUGAUCUGUUUGGGCUGCGAGAUGCUGAAGUUGUCUGCCGAGAGUUGGGGUUCCCCCUGGGUGCGACAGAAGUGUUGCCACCAGGAUCAUACAUUUCCCGUGACUACACACAGCCGAAGGUUUUCCUAGUGGAUGACCUGAAGUGCCUUGGCAAUGAGAGCUCUAUCCUGGAGUGCGAAUUUGCAGGCUGGGGAGUCCAUGAUUGCCUCCCUGAGGAAGCUGUUAGCGUUGUGUGCAGUGUGCCAGGCCAGACGUGUGCUCCAGGCUUCUGGAAGUGUGGGGGCAGCGGCGAAUGUCUUCCCAUUGCGUACCUGUGUGACAACAUUAAUGACUGUGAAGAUGCUAGUGAUGAAGAUCCCUCACAGUGUAACUUGCCUGUGGAGCUGCGAUUGGCAGGAGGACCCAACAACAUGGAAGGGCGUGUUGAAGUGCGGUAUCAUGGAGUAUGGGGAACUGUUUGUGAUGACGACUUCGCAGAACCUGCCGCUACAGUCAUCUGUCGUUCAUUGGGAUUUGGUGGCCCAGCACAGGCAAAGAAGGAUGGGUUUUUUGGUCCUGGAGAAGGUCAGAUCUGGCUGGAUCAGCUGCACUGUGUGGGCAAUGAAACAGGAAUAGCAGAAUGUCUGCAUUCAUACUGGGGAGAACACAACUGCAAACACAACGAAGAUGCAGCCGUCAUCUGUGCACCAGGAGAUGUUCGGCAGUCACUGAACCUCCAGAGGGCAGAUGACCUGCCUCGUGCAAAUUAUGUCACACCAGUCAGUAAUAUUCUCCCAUCUGAGUGUGGCAAGAGAAACAUAGACCCCUUGAACCUGGGAGAUGGCCCGGUGGCUCGUAUUGUGGGAGGGUAUGAAGUGCCGAGGGGAAGCUAUCCAUGGCAGGCAAGUGUGCGAGUGAGAACGGGAGGGAAGUCUGUGCACUGGUGUGGGGCGGCUGUGGUCUCACCACUCCACAUCCUCACCGCUGGCCACUGUAUGCAGGACUACACCAAGGGAGCCUACUUCAUCAGGGUUGGAGAUCAUGACACAGAGGAAGCAGAAGGAACAGAGCAAGAGUUGAACAUUGAUGAGAUAUACUUGCAUGAGGAGUUCAACAAGAACAUGCGCCUCAACAAUGAUAUUGCUCUGGUGAAAGUGAAAGGGCUGGGAAUGCAACUGGGUCUACACGUCAUGCCUGCCUGCCUGCCGCAUCAUGGUGUCCAGUAUACUCCGGGUCUCAACUGCACCAUCUCCGGCUGGGGCUCGGUGAAAGCAGCUGGUGCAGGUUAUUCUCGUCAUCUUAGGGCCACUUGGAUCCCUUUGCUGCCCCAUGAAACAUGUAAGGCCAGCUUUGUCUACGGUACAAAAGCCAUAGGAGAUGGAAUGUUUUGUGCUGGGCUGCUGGAAGGGGGAGUGGAUUCCUGUCAAGGUGACUCAGGUGGAGCCCUUGUGUGUCUCAUUAAUGGUGAGUUUACAUUGUACGGAAUUACAAGUUGGGGCCACGGGUGUGGGCGACCUAACAAACCCGGUGUGUAUACCAAUGUGGGCUUCUACAGAGACUGGAUCGACCAUAAACUGGAAGACUCCAUGUCAGGGCGCUGAGAGAAGCCACUGCAGCAGCUUUCACGCCAGAUAGCAGAUACAUUGCGAUUUACCGAUAUACCGUUUAAUUCGAUUACGACGUGGUUUCCUAGCAACUGUUCGUGCAAGUGCCACACGUGACGAAGAAGUGGGGUUAAUGUUUUAAGAAUUAUGCGGCAAAUAUGAAGAAAUGCCAUGUUAUAUGUGCAGUUUUUGUCAUGGUACUGGCAAUUCUCUAUAUAAUGGAAACAGACACAGCAACGUUCAGUGCUGUUCAGUCAGCAGUGUUCACUUCUGAUCACCGAGAUCUCUUCCAUUUUGUUUCUCAUCCAGACACAGUGGAAAUGGUCUGUAUGGAAUAUGUGAUAUGUGGUUUCAUUGGAUAUCUCACUUUCGGUCAGCUGACAGUAAGUUGGUGGGGGAGGGGAAACUCUACCAGGCAGUGUACACCUUGCCUCUUCUAGGUGAUUAUGUGAUGUUAUUUCGAGCAGUUGAAUAUGUGCCAGAGUCUCGCAUUGUCCUUGAGUCAGAGUCCUUGCUGAAACCUCGGAUAGAAGUCACAUCAGUUCCUAUGCGAGGUGAACAGUCGAAACUGACAUUUAAGUUAACUUUCCGUAGAUCGUCUACUCUGUUUCAGUACACUUUGGGGCCUAUCCUACAUAUAUUGGCACAGCAGCACAUCAAGAACUCCCUGUCUCUCCUUGGUCAGAUGUAGGACACCAGCGUAGCUCAUCUCACUGGUUCUCAAGGGAUCUUGUUGGGCAUUCCUAAAAGACGAAACCUCUUCUGGGAUUGUUCCAGGCGAAAUAGUGGAGGCGGGGCACUGAAGUAGGAAUCCCAUUAGCCUAUCAGUCAGUGGAUCCCCUCCGCAGUGAAUUCUCUGGGCUGCUACUGAAACUACUGCAUCAUCACAGCCACAACAUCUUCAUCUGACUCAAAUCUAAGGUCCUUUAGUGCUUUCUUGAGGGGGUCAGCACCUGGAAGUUACAUGGUGAUAAGUCUGGGCUGUAUGGGCAAUGUGUGCAGCAUGUCAUGGAAAGUGUGGGCCACAUGGGAACAGGAAUUCAGUGAUAUCUCUCAUGAACAUACUAAAGAAUGUUUCCUCUUGAUCGUGGCACAAUGUUUGUAGAUGGUUCCACAGUAGCACUGUGUGUUGAUGGGGAAGUCAGGGUCCUUGAGUACUAAAGGACCAUAGUUCAGGUUGGACAGAGAUGUCAGUUUAAACGUGGUGUGAUGUUUCUAGGUGGAACCCAGAGAGAUCUUUGCAGAGGGAAUCCAGGGGUUGGUGCACCAAUGGGAUGCCCACUUCAGUGCCCGUAGUUACUGCUUUUAACAGCCUGUACUCCAGUGUUUUGAAAUGAACUGCUGUCUUCAUCUUGUUCUAUGCUGAAGAUAACAGAAGAAGGUUUCUCCCAAACGUUUGUACUCAUCAGCCAAACUGAGAGGUGUCACAUCCCAGAAGACCAUAUCUUUAUGCAGCACCGGUCCACAACGCAGCAUGUAGUGGAUCUCAUGAUUCCAAAUUUAUAAGCCUGUCAGACUUUUCAUUACGGUGUAGUGCCUGUAGGUGCCUUUGAAUCUCUCUGUCAGCUCCUCACUGACAGCCAGGUGGAUUAGUAGAAGGGGAAACUGGUCUGUUUCUGCUAAAGACAGGUGGAAUUGUUGAUAUACUGAACUUUUCGUGGAUUUUGUCCAGAGGAUGGGGUUGUAUUCAAUGAGAGUUGCUGAGUAUGAUUUCUGCAGAUGUUUCAAAAUGAGAAAGAGAAGUGAAUAAGAUAAGUUAACUGAA